ACGUAGGGGGCAAGCGUUAUCCGGAAUUAUUGGGCGUAAAGAGUGCGUAGGUGGUUUUUUAAGCGUGAGGUGAAAGGCAAUAGCUUAACUAUUGUAAGCCUUGCGAACUGGAAGACUUGAGUGCAGGAGAGGAAAGUGGAAUUCCUAGUGUAUCGGUUUAAUGCGUGUAGAUUAGAAGGAACACCAUUGGCGAAGGCGACAUUCUGGACUGUAACUGACACUGAGGCAGCAAAGCGUGGGCAGCAAACAG
rnacentral:rRNA from 1 species